UUCGUGGAGGACUAGUGGUUAGGCCACUGAGUUCUCACCGCUGCGGCCCGGGUUCGAUUCCCGGCCAGGGAA
rnacentral:tRNA from 1 species